UACGUAGGGUGCGAGCGUUGUCCGGAAUUAUUGGGCGUAAAGAGCUUGUAGGCGGUUUGUCGCGUCUGCUGUGAAAAUCCGGGGCUCAACCCCGGACUUGCAGUGGGUACGGGCAGACUAGAGUGUGGUAGGGGAGACUGGAAUUCCUGGUGUAGCGGUGGAAUGCGCAGAUAUCAGGAGGAACACCGGUGGCGAAGGCGGGUCUCUGGGCCGUUACUGACGCUGAGGAGCGAAAGCGUGGGGAGCAAACAGG
rnacentral:rRNA from 1 species